rnacentral:sRNA from 12 species
UCCGGAGUAUCGGUGGUUAAGGCUACCGAUAGUGAGACUUGUAAAUUCAGUAACCUACUGGUAGAGUAAAAGAACGUGAGGGAAUAAAGGCGUACCUUAUGUUUCUGCUAGUUAAUUACCCGGUUGUCAUAAUGUUUACUUAGGUGUAUCCGUUUUGAUAAUUAAUAAAGUGGUUACUUUUUUG